AGACUGUGGACUACAGACAAAAACGCUCUCUAUACAAGACUCGGGAAUCUCCCACCAGACACCCAGAUUAAGGCCUUAUACAAACUUUUUUCCUGUCUAUACAGCUGUAAGAAAAGCUUGGUGAACUCUUGGGAAAUACCUACAUUUUUUCAGACUCGUAAAUGCCGACGUUCACAUGGUCAAGGUUUGUGCAGCACACACGUGCACUGAUCUCUGCUGCACACCCCCACCACGAAGCGGCAGAGCAGAGCACCUUCAUUUGCACACUAUGUGCCCUACCAGGAACUAGUGGAGGUCCACAUCUUUGAAAGUUUUCCUGUAAGUCUUAUCUUUUUAGGCUGUCAGAAAUCUCUUUUGUUCAAGCCACGCUGUGUCACACUGCAACACAAUUCUUCUGUUAAUAGAGGUGAUUUUCUUAGCGUUCAUAUACAUUUCCA